CCAGCUGUUGCACUAUGAGCUUUGUUUUGUUUACCUGUUACCGUGACUCUGGACCUGUCAGCUGUCUGCCCCCCUGCGGUGACCGUGUCUAUUUACAUGGUGCUGUGUGCAGCAGCGGAGAUAGGCGUGACCAAGCGGUGUGUUUGACCGUGAAACGGGGCCGUCGCCGCUCCUCUUGCAGCUCCUGGAGCAGUGUUCCUCCCGUGUGAUGUAACUGCACUACGAUUUCCAAAUAAACCCCUCCACGUUUGCUGAAUCAAAGGGUAACACCGAUCAAAAAGGAUUAAAACUGACACUAGCAAGAGAAAAUUUGUAAAACGCCAUCAGGAUUCAACACUAGAACUACUGAAGCGUGAUGAGCACACAAUCAGAUGCUUUGUUAAUAAUGGCAGGGUCGCACAAAACGUGUUGGACACCAUUUAUAUGUUAUAAUUGUUGCUCAUGGGAGACCCUUUAGGAUACAGGAAAAGUUGGAUCUGCAACUCCUGCUACAAUGUUGCAGAUCGAUGUCUUCCAUCAUCCUAUGUGCUGACAGAUUUUACAUUGUAUUGGUCUAUAUCAUUUUGGGUAUAUCUUUAGCAAUAAACCUUU